AUCGGUUUGAAAGUACAGACCUAUUUAUGAAAGCAAGUUUUGAAAAGUUCCCCAUCAAGUGUUAUCCAUUGAUAUCCACUCGUAGUGAAUUCCUCCUAAUUAGUUCCAUAAGUAUAAAGAAGUAUCAAACCUAUAUGCCGUGUGGCAACAAUUAAAAUUUAAAGGAAUUCAAUAUGUCUAAUACAAUGACUGGUUUAGUAAAAUGGUUUAACGAAUCUAAAGGCUUUGGCUUUAUUUCUCCUGCUGAUGGCAGCAAAGAUGUGUUCGUACACUUCUCUGCAAUUCAAAGCGACAGCUUCAAAACGCUGAACGAAGGACAAAAAGUUAGCUUCUCAGUAGAGAAUGGUGCAAAAGGUCCAGCGGCUGUAAACGUCGUAGCUCUUUAAGAUACCCGCUUAAUACAGCGCUUAAAAUUUCAAACCCCUGCCAAUUGGCGGGGGUUUUUCG
rnacentral:sRNA from 21 species